rnacentral:rRNA from 1 species
ACUCCUACGGGAGGCAGCAGUGGGAAUAUUGGACAAUGGGACCGGUAGCAUCAGCCAUGCCGCGCUGUGUGAAGAAGGCCUUAUGGUUGUAAAGCACUUUAAGCGAGGAGGAGGCUACUGAGACUAAUACUCUUGGAUAGUGGACGUUACUCGCAGAAUAAGCACCGGCUAACUCUGUGCCAGCAGCCGCGGUAAUACAGAGGGUGCGAGCGUUAAUCGGAUUUACU